rnacentral:rRNA from 1 species
GUUUAGGGUUUCCUAAGGAGGUAAAAGAUCCUGAAGGCGAAGGCGGGUGCUAGGUAAAGAAAAGAGUCGAGAAGAACAAAAUGAGUGGUCAGAGGCUACAAGCGUCCGGUGAUCGUAAGCGUAGACCGACGAGUUAAGCCAUAAAAAAGAAACAACACACUUUCGUUAACCGGUGGUGAGACGACGUUAGGUUAAAGAACGGGCAGGGACACGUGGUUAAAGGAGUAAAAACACGAACAGGGAGGGACUUUCCGAGUCCGCCGGAAGCUAAACUACAAGAACAGGUUCGCGACUUAAAGAACCCCAAAGACUCCGAAAUCUUCGAACAAUCUAGCUGCCUCUACGUGGAUCGAGGGUCGAGGCUAGUAAGUCGACAGAGCGGCCGCGAGUCCUAAGUUCUUUGGGGCGGCUUAGACGGCAAGAACCCGCAGGUCCGAGGUCUAGGUCGGGCCUCGACGAGCAGCUCUCCGUCACGCCCUAGGUUCGAGAUCGCGCGCUAGAGGCUCGCCGCCGUGUGGGUAACCUCUAGAGCGCGCCCUCGUCGGUUCGGUUCUUCUACAGCGGAGUCGGCGGGGUGCUGAAGGGGCUCCUGUUCCCCCUCCGGUUACACGAGUAGCUCCUCCGGGCCCCCAGCCGCGGCCGGUUCCUCCGUCCCCGCCCGCCGCGGCACCCGACCCACGACAGUGGCCACCGCACCAAGGCCUACGACCAGUCCCUCGACGUGACCUCGAAGCACGAGCCGCACCACCGGUGGAUGCCGUAGUCGGUCCCCGAGCCCCCGCCGUAGAGCGCGCAGCGGAGGCUGAUGAUGACCUUCCUGCACGUCUUCCACGUCGGCAGCCGCCGCGUCCACAUGGUGCCGCAGUGCAGGUAGGGGACCGACCAGUUCGGCCAGACCCCGGACGAGUGGCUGCACGAGGGGCAGCGGCCGAUGGCCGCGGCCGGGAUGAAGCAGGAACGUCCGUAUUACCCUCACUAACGAUACGAAUAUCAGAGAGAUGUGUCGUUCGAAGUACACUACAAGCGUAAUAACCGUAACUACAGACCCUCACGUUCACAUCGUUAUCGACUACAUUGAUAUCUGCGGACACACCGGCUUUUGUCAGAUUAUGUGGGAGUAGAGCGCCGACUGUACUACUCGAAUUUACCGAAGACAAGUAGACAACCUCCAGAAUAACCUAAGAGUUAUUCACCAAAAGAACAAGUACGUUAACCUAGUGUCCCUUGGGAACCGUAAAAUUGAUAUGGAAGACGGAACCAUUAAAAUCGACCUUAUGACGAUUUCCUACAGGUAUAGGGGUUGAAGGGUAUGCCCGUCCGAGUAUUCUUCAAACAUCUUCGGUCACCUUUUUACAAUUCCUGGAAUUUUACGGGACUUCAUACCGCCGGUACAAAAAUGUACAUGUACAGCGAACGAGAGUCACACCUAUAAGUUCUUCCUUACAAGAUGACCAUGUGUCUAGGUUCACGUCCCGGUAGAAAGAGACUCCCUAAGUAACCCAAAUAGAAGCGUUAACCAAGACACCCUAGAGAACAACCUCAAUAUGAAAUAGUUUUAUAAGAAUCCCUGGUGAGAAAAGCGUCACAAGAAACAAGUUCAGUCAACGAUGAUUCGGACAGUCCUUACGAACUAGACUAAAACCAUGAAGCAGAUUUAGAUUUUGAACCCUAUGGACUAAUGAUGAAGCGACACUAGCUGCUCCCCCAGCGGUUUUACUAGUUGGCGUAGUUCACCUACGGGGAAAACCACGAGUCGAGUUUCGAAACGGGUGGACCGUAGCUCCCGUGUAAGAAGCGCGACGAGUACAGGUAACUGUUAUAACCGCACGACAGUCGUAGAACCUAGCCACCCGAUGAGGAAGUAAACAAUUCCUAGUGUUCUUGUCUCAAGUUUUUGGAAACCCGGCGCUAGAACUAGGCUUUACACUACUCCGAUGAUGGCAACCGUGACGAUAAGAACCACGGCUCUUCACUGGGCUUAAGAUUGUAGGAAGGACGACUAAACGACCGACUCAUACUGCCACGACUCCGAGCUGCUUAGCUCUUGCAGCUCGAUUGGAGAGAAUGGCAGCUGUUCUUAGGCUCGCGGCUACGGAGCGAGGUCCUUACGUUUUGGGUCCUCGUAGAACUACAUCCCGUUCUACUGCUGCUCCGAAGCAAUGAGCGGUUGUCCCCGACUACCUGGUAUGUGUACAAAAAAAAGGAGUAAUGUGUCUGUAUAUCAACUUUUCCUAGUACUUUUAGUGUAACACAACAAAAAUCAACAAGUGUACGACAACAUAAGUAAGUAAAAUGUAAUCCAAUCGUUUAGUAGUUUACGGUCUAUCACGAAACUUUAAACUCUGAGGGAGGCUAGGUAUAAUGAACGGCGACGAAAUCAUGUUGAAAUCAAAGAAGAAAAUUUGAGAGUGACACAAUAGAACUGAGUUUCAACAUAAUAAAUGGAAGGAAUGUUCAGAACAUACGCUGCACAGAUAAAAGGAAGACG